rnacentral:tRNA from 1 species
CGUGGCCCAGUGGUUAAGACGUUCGGCUCAAUUCCCAAUGGUCGCAGGUUCGAGCCCGGU